CCUACGGGAGGCAGCAGUGAGGAAUAUUGGUCAAUGGCCGUAAGGCUGAACCAGCCAAGUAGCGUGCGGGAUGACGGCCCUAUGGGUUGUACACCUCUUUUAUACGGGAAUAAAGCUCUUCACGUGUGGGUGUUUGCAUGUACCGCAUGAAUAAGGACCGGCUAAUUCCGUGCCAGCAGCCGCGGUGAUACGGAAGGUCCGGGCGUUAUCCGGAUUUAGUGGGUUUAAAGGGAGCGUAGGCCGGGUGUUAAGCGUGCCGUGAAAUUUUCGGGCUCAACCCGGUCCGUGCAGCGCGAAGUGGAGACAUUGAGUGCGCGGAAGGCAGGCGGAAUGCGUGGUGUAGCGGUGAAAUGCUUAGAUAGCACGAAGAACCCCGAUUGCGAAGGCAGCUUGCCGCAGCGGUACUGACGCUGAAGCUCGAAAGCGCGGGUAUCGAACAGGAUUAGAUACCCGAGUAGUC
rnacentral:rRNA from 1 species